rnacentral:rRNA from 1 species
UGGGGAAUAUUGGACAAUUUGCGAAAGCCUGAUCCAGCCAUGCCGCGUGUGUGAAGAAGGUCUUCGGAUUGUAAAGCACUUUAAGUUGGGAGGAAGGGCAUUAACCUAAUACGUUAGUGUUUUGACGUUACCGACAGAAUAAGCACCGGCUAACUCUGUGCCAGCAGCCGCGGUAAUACAGAGGGUGCAAGCGUUAAUCGGAAUUACUGGGCGUAAAGCGCGCGUAGGUGGUUUGUUAAGUUGGAUGUGAAAUCCCCGGGCUCAACCUGGGAACUGCAUUCAAAACUGACUGACUAGAGUAUGGUAGAGGGUGGUGGAAUUUCCUGUGUAGCGGUGAAAUGCGUAGAUAUAGGAAGGAACACCAGUGGCGAAGGCGACCACCUGGACUAAUACUGACACUGAGGUGCGAAAGCGUGGGGAGCAAACA